rnacentral:rRNA from 1 species
AUUGAACGCUGGCGGCCGGCCUAACACAUGCAAGUCGAACGAGUGGUGGAAGGGUGGGCAAGGAAUGGGAAACUGCCUUGUGGAGGGCGUUAAGUACCGGAAACGGUAGCUAAUUCCGCAUACAUUCAGCUGUGCCCACAUGGGUUUAGCUAGUUGGUGGGGUAAAGGAUCACAAAGGCGACUAUCCCUAGCUGGUCUGAGAGGAUGACCAGUCCCACUGGAACUGAGACACGGUCCAGACUCCUACGGGAGGCAGCAGUGGGGAAUAUGGCACAAUGGGCGAAAGCCUGAGGCAUCCAUGCCGCGUGUGUGAAGAAGGCCUUCGGAUUGUAAAGUACUUUCAUCGGGGAGGCGUUACCCGCAGAAGAAGCACCGGCUAACUCCGUGCCAGCAGCCGCGGUAAUAC